GCCUGGCUGGAUCAGUUGGAAGAACAUGGGACUCUUGAUCUUAGGGUUGUGAGUUCGAGCCCCACGCUGGGUG
rnacentral:tRNA from 1 species